ensembl:snRNA U2 U2 spliceosomal RNA
AUCGCUUCUCGGCCUUUUGGCUAAGAUCAAGUGUAGAAAAUAUAAGGGUGUAGAAAAAAAGUUUUUUCUCUCUUACAGUAUAUCUUGCAUAUGAAUAUAAAUAUAUGCACACAAA